GGGGUGGCUCGGCCCGCCGCGUCCCGAGUGCCUGGUGGCCCGGGGGUAGACGGGCUUGUGGUGGGCACCUGGUGCCCGUGGGGCCCCUCCAGAGCUUUGCCUUAGAGGACAGGAACAUCUUUUCCUUGCUGGAUCCUGGAAUUCCAGAGCACUGAAGUGUGUGCAGUUGAUCCCAGAGGGGAAUUCCCAAGGCUCUCGGGGUGCUGGUUCUGCCGUGCCUCUCGAGGGAGCUGUGCAGGUACAGGUGACAAGGUCCCGAAGCUGUGUGGGCUCCCAGAGCAGACAGCAAAAGCUUCUUUGCUGGACAUUUUCAAGCACACUCCCAGCUCGAAGCCGAGGUGCUGCUUUGGGGCUGACCACACCGCUAACUUUUGGCCUUGGGGAGAUUCCCUUGGGGAGAUGCAAAGCAGCCGGGGAUUGCUGAUCCUGGAUGGACACAGGGAUUGCUGAUCCUGGAUGGACACAUUCAGACUAAAGCAGCUUGGUUGGAUUAAAGGAGCAUGCCUGCCUGCUGAGCCAUGUCGGGGAGCUGCUUGAAUCGCAUUACAAGGCACCUGCACCUUGUUCACACCACGCAGCAGAAUAUGCACCUAAUUGCACGGUCAACAGGAGAUGUUGGUUCUUGAAUUUUGGUUGUAUGGCUAAUGGACACUGAGGUAUAAAUCACGGCAGGGCUAGAUUGCAUGAAAUACUUCCAUCAGUGUAAAAGAAAAUACUUAGAAGAGGUCAUAUCCGGACUGUUUCUUUUAGUGCCCUUCAGAAGUAUGACCCCGACCCUUUUUGUCACGAAGACUAAUUCUCAGGCGC